rnacentral:rRNA from 1 species
UACGUAGGGUGCGAGCGUUAAUCGGAAUUACUGGGCGUAAAGCGCGUGCAGGCGGCUUCGCAAGUCGGUCGUUAAAUCUCCUGGCUUAACUGGGAGGCGUCGUCCGAAACUGCGGGGCUUGAGGUUGGGAGAGGGAAGUGGAAUUCCCGGUGUAGUGGUGGAAUGCGUAGAUAUCGGGAGGAACACCAGUGGCGAAGGCGGCUUCCUGGCCCACACCUGACGCUAAGACGCGAAAGCGUGGGGAGCGAACAGG